AUGGACUCUUCAUCAUCCGCGGUGGCUUCCCUUUUCUCCAAUCAAGUUUCCGAAACACUCACUAGAGAAAACUUCCUCAUAUGGAAGGUUCAGAUGCUUCCCCUGAUUCAUGCGCCCAACCUUUAUGGCUACCACGAUGGCAGCCUCCCUGCCCACGAGAAAGCCAUCACGUCAACCGACAAAGAAGGCAAGCCGGUGACUGUUGUCAGCCAUAAUCUUGACUGGUGGUGGCGGUCGUGGAUGAACCGAGUCGUCGUCGUGGAGCAACGAGCGGAGUCGUGGGUGUGCCGGUCAGCCCAAUGCGUCCGUGCGUAG
rnacentral:rRNA from 1 species